rnacentral:snRNA from 1 species
UAUAAAUAACUAUCUUAGUUUU